GUCUGCCACCAUACCACCCUGAAUGUGCCCAAUCUCAUCUGAUCUUGGAGGCUAAGCAGGGUUGGUCCUGAUUAAUACUUGUAUGGGAGAAGGCAUUGAUGCCUAGGGCAAGUU
rfam:Chlorocebus sabaeus isolate 1994-021 chromosome 25, whole genome shotgun sequence.